ACAUACGACCAGACUCACUGGAAAACUCGGGAUCCCGUCCGCUCUCCCAUAGAAGCCAGUGAGGGCCGGAUUAGCAGUUAUGUAGGUGACGACCAGCGAAUACCUGGUGUUGUAUGUU
rnacentral:rRNA from 1 species